rnacentral:lncRNA from 1 species
CGAAUCGUGCCAAAUUGGUAGUGGUUUCGGGGCGGGGCGUGACAGUUAUCAAGCUAGCAUUGUGAUGGCACCGUUCGAAGUCCUGUAUGGACGGAAGUGCCGAUCCCCGAUAUGUUGGAGCGAUGAAGGUGAGCAUGCGGCAUUGGGCCCAGAUAUAUUGCGAGAGGCGGAAGAGAAGGCUCAUCUCGCUCGCGAGAGGCUACUUAUGGCACAGUCAAAGCAAAAGAGCUAUUCUGACAAGCGCCGUAGAGACUUGGAAUUCGCGGUGGGUGACCGCGUCUUCUUGGAGGUUUCAACAAUGAGAGGUAUGAAACGCUUCGGAAUGCGGGGAAAGCUAAGUCCCCGAUAUAUCGGGCCUUUCGAAGUGUUGGAACGUGUUGGAACAGUAGCAUACAGACUAGCAUUACCGCCGAAGCUCGCGGGCGUGCAUAAUGUGUUCCACGUCUCCAAUCUUCACAAAUACGUUCACGACCCCGAGCAUGUCAUGUAUUAUGAGCCAACGGAUCUACAAGAGGAUUUGAGCUAUGAAGAGUUUCCGGCGAUAAUCAUUGCUCGAGAAGUGCAGAAGCUAAGAAAUCAUGAGAUUCCCUAUGUGAAGAUCCGUUGAACUAAUCAUGAUGAUCGUGAAGCCACGUGGGAACUCGAAUAAACGAUGAAAGUACAUUAUCCUCAUCCUUUCGCGGAAAUGUAAUGAGGUAUGAGUUGUUGAAUUCGUUUCGAGGACGAAACUCCUUUUAGGAGGGGAGGAUGUAAGGAAGUGAAUUCUCGAAAUACGAGAGUUAGACUUCAUGCGAAAUCGACCAAGGGUUGUGUUGGUGUGCUUUGGAAAAGCCAAAGAUGACAAAUCACCAAAAGUGCAUUGGAAACGAGUCCAUGAGAGCAAAUAGUGCAAAACCUGCACUGGAGCAAAAUUGCUCUCGGGGACCGGUCCCUGGCAGGGAGGGACCGGUUCCAUCGGCUGGUGGUUGCGGGGAUCUUUGAGGCAACCGGUCCCUGGCAGGGAGAGACCGGUCCCCGAACGCGAACCCAGCGAGAAAAGCCAAAAUUUGGCUAAGUCCCGAAAAUCCUGCUCUCGGGAACCGGUCUUUCAGGAAGGAACCGGUCUCCCGAGGACCAGUCUCUCUGGGAGAGAUCGGUACCCGAACGCGUGACCCGAGCUGAAGCUCUCGACGACCGGUCCCAAGUCGGGGAGACCGGUCCCUCUGGGCGAAAACUGCCUAGUGAGGGCAGGUUGAGAGAUAUAAAGUUGAGGGAUUUUUCUGCAAAAAUGCCUUAAGUUAGAGGGUAUAAAGGGAAGAGAGCCUCUCCUCUCUCUCUCACAUCCCCUCACUCUCAUUUCUCCCUCACUAUCUCACACUCUCUUGCUCCCUCUCUCUCUCUAGAAGGAAAAGAGAAGGAGAAGAAGAGAAAUAGAAGAAGAAGAAGAAGGAGGAAAAGAAGAAGAAGAAGGAGAAGAUCAAGCUCAAGGAGGCUUGGAGCAUCUCCCUCUUCCUCUCCUCACCAUUAGAGUAGCUCAAGAGGUAAGCUUUUGAACCCUAGCUUAUGGAACUUAGGGUUUUUGGGCUUUGAGCUUUUGAAAUGGGUCAAUUGGACCUCUAGCAUGUUUCUAAAUAGAUCAAUGCUAGAAUCUAGGGUUUUGAUUUGGUAGUUUGCUAUAGGUGCAAACCUAGGGCACCCAAAUAGGAUUUUUGGUAAAGCAUGAGAUUGAUCUCAUUUGAUACCUUGUAAACCUAAUUGCUAGGUGUUUAAACGCGGGGGCGAAGUCGGAUUCACAUUUCAUCGAGUGGAUUUAGAGCUAUCGGUAAAAUACGGCCGAUUUAGCAUUAUUUUGGACCAAGAAGGCCAAGACUUCGUCGUAAAGUUCACCGAGGAGCGUUUCUAGAACCUCUACAUCAAGAAAAGGUGGGGGGUGUCAUCGCGAAGCAACUGAACUCCUUUCUAUGUGUAAUAUAUCGAGAAUUCGGAAAAUAAAUGUCGAACUUUAGUCAAAUUGACCAAAGUGCGUGGACGGUACAUUUCGGAAAGUCCGAAGGUGUUAAAAUGAGUAAAAGUGUAUUGUGGAAGGUUUUCGGAAGCUAAGGAAUCAAAAAUCUGCAAACUGCAGUUUUUGAGCUCUCGGGGACCGGUCCCUGUUGGGAGAGACCGGUCCCUGUUGGGAGAGACCGGUCCCCGAACACGCAAGAAAUGAGAAAAGCCAAAAAUCGGCUAAGUCCCAGAAAACCAGCUCUCGGGAACCGAUCCCUGCCUGAGAGACUGGUCCCCCAGAGACCGGUCCCCUCAAAGAGAGACCGGUCGCAUCGCACGCGGCAGCUCUUGCUGCGCUGGGACGAGCUUCGGGAACCGGUCCCUGAUGGAGAGACCGGUCCCCACCUGCGCGAACUGCCCAGUCCAGGCAGUGUGAAAGAGUGAAAGUUGAAGGGUUUAGCUGCAAUUUGGCAACCCAUUGAGCUAUGUAUUUGGGUAAAUGGGAAAUUUCUCUCAUUUCUCAUCCUCUCACACUCUCUCCUCCCUUUCUCUCUCUAGAAGACAAAAAAGGAGAAGAGGAGAAGAAGAAUAGAAGGAAGAGAAGGAAAAAAAAGAGAAGAAAAAUGAGAAGAAGGUGAAGAAGAAGCCAAGGGAGUGAGACAACUCCAUCUUCUUCCUCAUUGAAGCAAGGAGGGAAAGCUUUGAGAUAAGCUUUGAUCCCUAUUGUGAUAAAGCUACGAAUGGUUUUUAUAGAACCUCUAGAGUAUUUGGAGCUUUCUCUUUGCUUCUUUGGAGAUCAAGACCAUGGCAUGAGUGUAGUGGGUGAAGCUUGAAGGUGAGUUCCAUCACCUCCCAUGGUAGAACCCUAAGUAGGGUUUUGAUUUGUCUAAGAAUGGUCCUAAUGGAUUUCCUAGAGUAAAAUAAAGCUGCUUUUGCUUCCCAAUGAGAUCAAACCCUAGGUUUGAUGUUUGCUAUGGAGCUAGGGCAGCCAAAUUAGGGCUUUUGCUCAUGAGGAUUUCUAAGUGAAAUUAACCCUCUAGAAACCUAAUUGGGGGUAUUUCCGACGCGUUGGUGUGCCCGGAUUAUCGUUACGAAAAGUCUAUAAAAAGUUAUGGGUAAAAUGGCCUAAGUUGGCUUCGUUUUGCCGCAGGUAGUGAACGAGAAGCCUAAAAAUUCCAAGAAAAUCGUCGGAGCACCUUUGAAAGCCUACGAGGUGGGUGGUGCUUUCCAAACUCGUUGAAAUUCUCUCUAUGCCUAAUGUGUCAUUCAAUUGAACAUAUGUUUAUACAUUGUUGCAUGCAUUUAGGGUAAAGUAAUGAUAAAAAUGUGAUGUUGCAUGAUUGCGAGUACAACUUGCAUAAUGUGAUGGUUGAGAACCUUAUGAAUGUCGAAAACCCUAUAUAUGUAUGCAUGAGAGAAAAUGUGAGUACCCAAAGUGAGGCGAAAGAACAGAGUGACACAACGAGACAUAGAACGAGUGGCAUUUAAUAAUGUAAAGUAAAGUGACACUAGAGGUAGUGUGAGGCAAAGAAUCAAUGUGAUGUAAAGAAUAAUGCUAAUGACUAAAGUGAAAACAAAGUGGGGUGUAAAGAACAAGAAUGCUAAAGAUAGCCAAGAGUAAAGAAAUGUAAAGAACAAGAAUGCUAAAAAUAGUCAAAAGUAAAGAAAGAUAAAGAACAAUGAUUGCUAGAGUAGCAACAUAAAGUGAUGUAAAGAACACUAGAGUUAGUGUAAAGUCAAGAUUGAACAUAUAAUCCUUUGAGUUAAGAAUUCGAUCAUACUUGCUAUGAGUUCCGUGCUCGACGGUGGUCGCUCCCCCUCGGGCGAUGCGCUCCGGAGUUUUUGCAUCACGGGUUGGAGUAAACCCGAAGGACGGUCCUAGCGGGAGGAAGCUGAGGGCCCGCCAUGAUGGACUUAAUUUGAAGCAAGUUAAUGUGGCGAAACCCUCGGGUUAGCCUUGAGAUUAAAGAACAAAGAGCAAAGAACAAAAAACAAAGAUAAAGUGUAAAGUGCAAAGAACUAAAGAACUUGCAUAAUCUACAUAUGUUAAUGUUGAGCAUAUUUCAUGCUUAUUGUUCAGGCAUACUAGCAUCAUAUUAUAGAUUUGUUACCAUAUGCAGCUUUUCCUUUCUAUUAUGCCUGAGUUAGUCCUAGUGGAAAAGUCGGUGAGAUUAAGGCCGAACCCACUGGGAACUUUGUUGUAGUUCUCACCCUACUAUUUCCACAGAGCCCGGGCUCGAGCGAGCCGGCGAGCGAUCGCGGUAAAGGUAUUGCGCCUUAGUCAGAGGCCAGCAGAGUUUGGUUUCCAUUUUGUAGUAGCAUUCCUCUUUAUCAUCUUUUGUAUUUGAUGAUUGAAAAUGUUGAUGUUUUAAGUAUGGAAAGAAAAGAAUGUAAAGCACCCUUUUGAGGUAAAUGUGAUGUAAGAAAGAAAUGAUGAAAUGAUGCAAUGUAAUGUAAGGAAUUUGAAAAUGCGCAAGUUGGACUUAAUGUAUAUGAUCUAAAUUGAAUCAUAGUACAAAAUGAAUGCUAGUUUUCCUAUCUUUCACUCAUGGCUAUUGCUUACCCUCGUGUAAGCCGUAUUUGUAUGUUUCCGCUAGUGCACUUCUUGAUUGAAAUUGUACAUGUGAUGAGCCUUGGGCGGACAAGGGAAACUCUGUCCGUUCGGUGUCUGUUUGACGUGCUCGGGCCGGCCCAAAUUGGUAUCGGUCCCGGGGCGUGACAGAUAUCGUGGUAUCAGAGCACCAAGAGUGAAAGAAUAGCAAUGGACUUAGAGACCCUUAGGAUUGGAAGACCUUAAGGAUCUAGGAAACGUGAGUGACGUGGAAUCAAAGUUAGCGAAAGCAUAUGAUUGGGUUAAGUUGGGACGUCUCUAAUGUGAUUAGAGGCUAGGCUUAAAUUUCGUUUAUCCUCUACUUCUAGUGUUGUGUCGGGCGGCCGACGACAUGACGCUUGAGGCAAGGAUGGAUGUGCAUGAUGCUUUCGCCGGAUUGGGUUGGUCAAGUAAUGUUUGUCAAGUAACUAAUGCGAGUUGCUUCUUUUCAGGAAGCAAUGGCACCUCAUGGACGACCGCAGACAAGGUCGAUGCCGGGGGAGCCGAGUGCGGAGCCCGAGCGAUUCUGAGCGAGUGGUGACGGAGAGCUUAGGGAGCAAAUGGCCGCGCUUAUCGGUGUAGUGCGGCAACAAGCGGAGUCUGUUCAGCGUCAAGGGGAGCAGAUUCAGCGGCUCCAGGAGGCUUUGGAGCAUUAGUGUAAGGAAGUGAAUUCUCGAAAUACGAGGAUUGUACUUCAUCCAGGAUCGACUAAUUGUCGAAAGUAUACCCUUUGUGGGAGUUGAGAAUGUCCAAAGCACAAAAAGUGCCUUGGAGUUGAGUCCGCGAGAGCAAAUGAGGCAAACUGCAUCAUUGGGCUAAUGUUGCUCUCGGGGACCGGUCUUUGCAGGUGAGAGACCGGUUCCCCUGGCUGGGCAUAGCGGGGUUGCGUGAUGCAACCGGUCCCUGGCAGGGAGGGACCGGUUCCCGAACGUGGUCCCAGCGAGAGAUGCCAAAAAUUGGCUAAGUCCUGAAGAUCGAGCUCUCGGGGACCGGUCUCCCAGGUGAGGACCGGUCUCCCGAGGACCGGUCUCCCGGGGAGAGACCGGUUCCCGAACGCGUGCGCCCGAGGGAAGCUCUCGGGGACCGGUCCCAAGUCGGGGAGACCGGUCCCUCCGCGCGAAAACUGCCCAGUGAGGGCAGUGCACAGGAGUGAAAGUUGAGGGGCUUUUAUGCAAAAUGGCUUUUAUUUGAGUGGGCUGAGCCCUCUCUCUCCCUCACACUCUCUCAUUUCACUCUCUCUCACUCUCAUUUCUCUCUUGCUCUCUCUCUCUCUAGAAAGGAAAGAAGGAGAAGAAGAACAAGAAGGAGAGGAAGGAAAAGAAGAGGAAGAUAAGGAAGGAGAAGAAGAAGGAGAUCAAGAGGAAGGCUUUGAGCACCUCCAUCUCCCUCUCCUCUUCCCAUUGGAGUAGCUCUUGAGGUAAGCUACUAAACCCUAGCUUCUAGAACUUAGGGUUUUUGGGUUUUAUGCCUUGGAAUGGGUCAAAUGGACCCUAAGCAAGCUUCUAAAUAGAUCAAUCCCAAGAAUCUAGGGAUUUAUGGGGUGGUUUGCUAUAGGUGCAAAUCUAGGGCUCCAAAAUGGGGUUUUUGUAAAAGUAUGAGAUUGAUCUCAUUUGAAGCCUUGGAAACCCUAUUGAUAGGUCCCAAAACGCGGGGGCGAAGUCGAUUUUGGCAUUCGGCGAACCGACGUGAAGUUCUCGGCAAAAUCGGGCCGGGCUAGUGUUGAUUCGGGCGAGGAAGGCUAAAGCCUUUUCGUAAAGCUCGCCGAGAGAGAUUUCCGAAACCUCUACAUCGAUUAAAGGUGGGGGGUGUCAUCCGAAACUUUCGAACUCCUUUCUAUGUCUUAGAUUGCAUUUAAUCUCAUCUCUUCAUGUUGCAUUGUAGGAUUGCAUAGUAGCUCCAUUCCUUAUGCUUUCUAAUUGAUAACCUAGUGUACUUGGAACGCUUGGUAACUUAGAUAGGUGAGGAUUGGGUCGAGACGUGAAUCCUAUAGUGCGAAAGAAAAGAGAUGAACCCGAUGGGGGUAUUGAUGACAUAGAAAGUAGUGUUAUUGUUAAAGAACAAACGAGUGGCAUCCAAACAUUGAAUGAUAACGAGUGGCAUUAAUGUAGUGUAAAUAACACUAGAGGUCGAUGGACCUAGGGAUAGGUGGAUCCCUUAGAAAAUGCCUUGUGAACAAUGAAUUUAGAAAACUAAAUAGCAUUGCAUGAAUGUCGGGAACCGAUGAUUCCGCGAUAGUCGUUGACCCUAGUGUAGGGCGUCCUCACUUGGAGAGGAUUUGAUUGGGUUAUUGACUCUAGUUGUAGAGCCUCCUCACUUGGAGAGGAUUGGAUUGGGUGUUGACCCUAGUUACAGUGUAUCCUCACAUGGAGAGGAUAGAUCUAGCUCACAGUCUGCGUUUAGGGUGGCAUAGCCAUCCAAUCCCCACAUGGAGGGGAUUGUCGUCGAGUACUCCGGAGUGUCGCGCGACUAGGACCACUUGGAGGUCCGGACCACAUGGAGGUCCGCAGACGGUCCCGGGCUUGGGUGCACUUGGAGCUCCCUCCCCACUUUGGGAUUUGAAGGUGAGUCAUGGGCGAGCCCUAGGGCCUCGCCACAGAUUGGGUAAAUGAAAAAGGUUAAAGGUUUAUAAAUGUCAUUGAACAUUACUAUUCGAACAUGGAUCGAAUUUGUUAGCAUGGUAGCAAACCUUUAUUAUAUGAUGCAUGCAUUCAUAUUCAUGAUUAUGGGCAUAGUAGCAUAGUUUUCCUACUACUGCAUUUACAGCUUUCAGAUACAUAUCUAUCUAUCUAUCUGUUGUUACUUGUGCCCACUUGGACCUAGUGGGGAGAUCGGCAGAGUCGGCGGCCGAGCCCACUGGGAACUAUGGAAGAUAGUUCUCACCCCACUCUAUUUCCAGUGGUAGGUUCAGGGCUGCAGAGAGAGGACCGCGGCAAGGGCGUCGCGCCCGACCAGUGAGACCGUGGUAGUAUAGUAGCUUUCCUUUUUGCAUUAGUCACCUAUGUAUAGAGAGAGAUUUAUUGUGGGUGAGGAAAUGGAGAGCUAUGUAUUUUGGAAUGAAAAAUGAUGUAAAGAAUGCAACUAUUGUAAUAGUUAGUAAAGUACUCUCUUUAUUUCACUCGUAUAUCUUGUGAAUUACUUGCCCUUCUUGUUGUUGGCACUGUUUGUGCCCUCGAUGAAUGUGUAUGUUUAGAAUUUAAAGUCCUGGGUAAAUUCUUGUACACAUUCCUGUCGUUGAGCCUUGGGCGGACAAGGGAGAUGCUGUUCGUUCGGAGGUCCGCCGCCGCGGCCGAGCCGUGCCAAAUUGGUAGUGGUUUCGGGGCGGGGCGUGACAAUCUUUUGUGCGUGUACUCGAAGAUAGAUUUGCAGUCUGGCUACCACCAAUUGAAGAUCAAGCCAGAGGAUGUGCAGAAAACUGCGUUUUGUACGCGGUAUGGACAUUACGAAUUCACGGUCAUGCCAUUUGGGCUCACAAAUGCCCCAGCGGCAUUUAUGGAUUUGAUGAACCGUGUCUUCAGGAAAUUCUUGGAUCGAUUUGUCGUGGUCUUCAUAGACGACAUAUUGGUCUAUUCUCGUAGCGACGAAGAACAUGCNAAUCCCUUAGAAAAUGCCUUGUGAACAAUGAAUUUAGAAAGCUAAAUAGCAUUGCAUGAAUGUCGGGAACCAAUGAUUCCGCGAUGGUCGUUGACCCUAGUAUAGGGCGUCCUCACUUGGAGAGGAUUGGAUUGGGUAUAGACCCUAGUUACAGUGUAUCCUCACUUGGAGAGGAUAGAUCUAGCUCACAGUCUGCGUUUAUGAUGGUAUAGCCAUCCAAUCCCCACAUAGAGGGGAUUGUCGUCAAGUACUCCGGAGUGUCGCGCGACUAGGACCACUUGGAGGUUCGGACCACAAGGAGGUCUGCAGACGGUCCCGGGCUUGGGUGCACUUGGAGCUCCCUCCCCACUUUGGGAUUUGAAGGUGAGUCAUGGGCGAGCCCUAGGGCCUCGC